GACGAACGCUGGCGGCGUGCUUAACACAUGCAAGUCGAACGGAAAGGCCCUGCUUUUGUGGGGUGCUCGAGUGGCGAACGGGUGAGUAACACGUGAGUAACCUGCCCUUGACUUUUGGAUAACUUCAGGAAACUGGGGCUAAUACCGGAUAGGAUCUCCUGCUGCAUGGUGGGGGUUGGAAAGUUUCGGCGGUUGGGGAUGGACUCGCGGCUUAUCAGCUUGUUGGUGGGGUAGUGGCUUACCAAGGCUUUGACGGGUAGCCGGCCUGAGAGGGUGACCGGACACAUUGGGACUGAGAUACGGCCCAGACGACUACGGGAGGCAGCAGUGGGGAAUAUUGCACAAUGGGCGGAAGCCUGAUGCAGCAACGCCGCGUGCGGGAUGACGGCCUUCGGGUUGUAAACCGCUUUCGCCUGUGACGAAGCGUGAGUGACGGUAAUGGGUAAAGAAGCACCGGCUAACUACGUG
rnacentral:rRNA from 1 species